rnacentral:rRNA from 1 species
UCGAACGGAAAGGCCCUGCUUGCAGGGUACUCGAGUGGCGAACGGGUGAGUAACACGUGGGUGAUCUGCCCUGCACUUCGGGAUAAGCUUGGGAAACUGGGUCUAAUACCGGAUAGGACCGCACUUUAGUGUGUGUGGUGGAAAGUUUUUUCGGUGUAGGAUGAGCUCGCGGCCUAUCAGCUUGUUGGUGGGGUAAUGGCCUACCAAGGCGGCGACGGGUAGCCGGCCUGAGAGGGUGUACGGCCACAUUGGGACUGAGAUACGGCCCAGACUCCUACGGGAGGCAGCAGUGGGGAAUAUUGCACAAUGGGCGCAAGCCCGAUGCAGCGACGCCGCGUGGGGGAUGAAGGCCUUCGGGUUGUAAACUCCUUUCGCUAGGGACGAAGCUUUUUGUGACGGUACCUAGAUAAGAAGCACCGGCUAACUACGUGCCAGCAGCCGCGGUAAUACGUAGGGUGCGAGCGUUGUCCGGAAUUACUGGGCGUAAAGGGCUCGUAGGUGGUUUGUCGCGUCGUCUGUGAAAUUCUGGGGCUUAACUCCGGGCGUGCAGGCGAUACGGGCAUAACUUGAGUGCUGUAGGGGUAACUGGAAUUCCUGGUGUAGCGGUGAAAUGCGCAGAUAUCAGGAGGAACACCGAUGGCGAAGGCAGGUUACUGGGCAGUUACUGACGCUGAGGAGCGAAAGCAUGGGUAGCGAACAGGAUUAG